CCUACGGGUGGCUGCAGUGAGGAAUAUUGGUCAAUGGGCGCGAGCCUGAACCAGCCAAGUAGCGUGAAGGAUGACUGCCCUACGGGUUGUAAACUUCUUUUAUAAAGGAAUAAAGUGAGGCACGUGUGCCUUUUUGCAUGUACUUUACGAAUAAGGACCGGCUAAUUCCGUGCCAGCAGCCGCGGUAAUACGGAGGACCCGAGCGUUAUCCGGAUUUAUUGGGUUUAAAGGGAGCGUAGAUGGGUUGUUAAGUCAGUUGUGAAAGUGUGCGGCUCAACCGUAAAAUUGCAAUUGAUACUGGCAGUCUUGAGUACAGUUGAGGUAGGCGGAAUUCGUGGUGUAGCGGUGAAAUGCUUAGAUAUCACGAAGAACUCCGAUUGCGAAGGCAGCUUACUAAGCUGCCACUGACGUUGAUGCUCGAAGGUGUGGGUAUCAAACAGGAUUAGAUACCCGUGUAGUC
rnacentral:rRNA from 1 species